GACGAACGCUGGCGGCGUGCCUAAUACAUGCAAGUUGAGCGCUGAAGGUUGGUACUUGUACCAACUGGAUGAGCAGCGAACGGGUGAGUAACGCGUGGGGAAUCUGCCUUUGAGCGGGGGACAACAUUUGGAAACGAAUGCUAAUACCGCAUAAAAACUUUAAACACAAGUUUUAAGUUUGAAAGAUGCAAUUGCAUCACUCAAAGAUGAUCCCGCGUUGUAUUAGCUAGUUGGUGAGGCAAAGGCUCACCAAGGCGAUGAUACAUAGCCGACCUGAGAGGGUGAUCGGCCACAUUGGGACUGAGACACGGCCCAAACCCCUACGGGAGGGAGCAGUAGGGAAUCUUCGGCAAUGGACGAAAGUCUGACCGAGCACCGCCGCGUGAGUGAAGAAGGUUUUCGGAUCGUAAAACUCUGUUGGUAGAGAAGAACGUUGGUGAGAGUGGAAAGCUCAUCAAGUGACGGUACCUACCCAGAAAGGGACGGCUAACUACGUG
rnacentral:rRNA from 1 species